CCACUUACAGAUGGACCCGCGGCGCAUUAGCUAGUUGGUGAGGUAACGGCUCACCAAGGCAACGAUGCGUAGCCGACUGAGAGGGUGAUCGGCCACACUGGGACUGAGACACGGCCCAGACUCUACGGGAGGCAGCAGUAGGGAAUCUUCCGCAAUGGACGAAAGUCUGACGGAGCAACGCCGCGUGAGUGAUGAAGGUUUUCGGAUCGUAAAGCUCUGUUGUUAGGGAAGAACAAGUACCGUUCGAAUAGGGCGGUACCUUGACGGUACCUAACCAGAAAGCCACGGCUAACUACGUGCCAGCAGCCGCGGUAAUACGUAGGUGGCAAGCGUUGUCCGGAAUUAUUGGGCGUAAAGGGCUCGCAGGCGGUUUCUUAAGUCUGAUGUGAAAGCCCCCGGCUCAACCGGGGAGGGUCAUUGGAAACUGGGGAACUUGAGUGCAGAAGAGGAGAGUGGAAUUCCACGUGUAGCGGUGAAAUGCGUAGAGAUGUGGAGGAACACCAGUGGCGAAGGCGACUCUCUGGUCUGUAACUGACGCUGAGGAGCGAAAGCGUGGGGAGCGAACAGGAUUAGAUACCCUGGUAGUCCACGCCGUAAACGAUGAGUGCUAAGUGUUAGGGGGUUUCCGCCCCUUAGUGCUGCAGCUAACGCAUUAAGCACUCCGCCUGGGGAGUACGGUCGCAAGACUGAAACUCAAAGGAAUUGACGGGGGCCCGCACAAGCGGUGGAGCAUGUGGUUUAAUUCGAAGCAACGCGAAGAACCUUACCAGGUCUUGACAUCCUCUGACAAUCCUAGAGAUAGGACGUCCCCUUCGGGGGCAGAGUGACAGGUGGUGCAUGGUGU
rnacentral:rRNA from 1 species